rnacentral:lncRNA from 10 species
CUGUCCCUGCAGCCAAGGAGGGAAUCAGCCCGUGGAGACACACAGACUACAAGUUGGAGAGGGGACAGGGCAGAAGGCUGAGGGCCAGUGUGUGUCAUGGAGUUCUGGACAAGCGGAGGAGCUCCAGGCCCCAGUCCUCAAAGAGCCGAACGUCGCCGUGAUAAUGCCACGUGCUUCCAUCAUGCUGUGACGCUUCCAGGGCGUUGCUGAGUUUGCAUUGUGUGGUUCCUCCUACGUCACUCCUGGGAGGUGGGGCUGUGGCCCCUGCCUGAUGAAGAAGUCAGGAUUCAGGGAGCAGCCAGCACCCAGACCCAGCGUGGAAGAGUGGAGCAGGACCUGGCCCCUGCCACCUGUGUUUCCAGGGCUGGGAUCCUGAGAUGAGGCUGUCCUGCUGGGACCUGGGUCCCCAGGGGAGGCAGGAACAAGAUCCCUGGACACCACCAUCCUUUUCUCAGCUCUUCCUCCCCUGAGCUGUGCCUUUGGCUGAUCUCUCAGGAAGUCCUGACAGUUCUUCCCCUUCCUCUUCCCUGGCUCUCCCCUCCCCUCUGUCUCACCUGCACUUUUGGACAGUCUCUUAAAUGUCUGCAGUGUCCCACUCCAUGGACUCUGAGUCCCCCACCACAGAGCCAGGGAGUCCUUUCCAGAGCACAGAUCUGACCAUGCCAUCUUCUGUGUAGAACCUUCAAUGGCUCCCCAUUGCCCACAGGAUAAAUCUUAUGUGACUCUUCAGCAAGGCCUAAAAGGCUCUUUCUGACCUGGUCCAGCCAAUGAGGGUCCAUAAGUUUUGCUGGGUGAUUUUCCAGAGUGGAAGAAACAUUAUCUUUCUGGACAAGUAUUAAAGAAAAAAUUUCAUUCUCAUUAACA